ACCCCCUCCCCCAAAAUACUAAUUUAUCUUGAAGAUAACUAUGUUAUUUUCAUCCCUAAAUUCUGCCCAGCCUGACAUUCAAGCAAUAUCUGCUAACUGAUGUGACACCCUGUAGCUACCCACAGGGUGACUCCAAUUGACUCAAGCCAAGAAGAUGAGACCAUCAUUGUCUGGAGGCCAUUGCGUCUUCCCUAGGAGCUUGGCCCUGCAUGGCCUAACCCCCCAGGCAUCUCUCUGGCUCUUGGAGGCUCCUCUUGUCCAUAGACAACCCACCAGAGAAGGGGGUAACUGUGAGCACUUAACAACUAACAUCUGAAGCAGUUGGGGAAAUGGAUACACCCGCUGACAGAAGAUCUGAACCAGGCAGCUACCACCCUGUGGAGGUGAGAUGAACAUGGCAUGCUGGGACACGGUGAGGAGAGCAGGCAUGUUUGAGGAGGUGAUGUAGAGUGAGGAGUAGUGAGUGAAACUGACACAAGUCUUAGGGCUGAGAGAAAUCGGAAUUUAUGGGCAAUACCAAGGACCCUGUUGGGAUGGCAAUGUCAAUUUAUCAUGGUAUGGUACAAUUGUGUGCAAUUUCACGGAGAAAACUAAUUCUUGGGUUCACCCAAAAAUAUUUUUUGGCCAGAGAGAGGUACAGGGGAGUUGAGGGUGUUGGCAACAUGGAGUCCAGGGGGAAGAAAAGACAGAAGCUAAUGGAUAAGCAGGUGAGGAGAGGAUCAAAGAUCCCAAGAUAUUCUAAGAGUAGUGCUCGUGGGAGUCACUGAGCAGUAAGUUGGAAGGGAAGGAGGGAUUCUCCACCAGCAAUAAUGAAGCAAUAAUGAACUGGGAAUAGUGAAGUCCCAGACGGGGCUGUCAGAGCGGGUGCCAGAGAGAGCUCAAGAUGACUCCUACAGAAGAGGACUCGGACCCACAAUUAUUGGAUGGGUCAUCAGUGUCCCCAUGGGAGUCACCCAUGAUAGUGUCAUCAGCUGAGGCAGGGGAAGGGCGAGGAUUCAGGUGCCAGAACCUUCCCCUGAGAGCGGGAGAGACCAGGAAGCCAGUCAUGUCAGAAAUGAGAAAGGUGGUGUCAGUGACUAGCAAGAACCCUCAGAAAGUAGGGCUGCUUUUUUCUGUGAGAGAAACAGAGCGAGUGGUGGAGGGGCGGAGAGAAAGGGAGGAAAGAAUCCAAAGCGGGCUCGGCACUCAGCAGGAGCUCACCCGAGGGGCUUAAUUUCAAGACUAUGAGACCACGACCUGAGCCAAAAUCAAGAGUCGGACACUCAACCAACCAAGCCACCCAGGCGCUACGCUUGGAUAUUUUUAAUUAGUAAAUUAUUACAUUCCUUUAAAAAAAUAUUAUAAAUUAUAAAGAAGGCCAGAGUUUCUUAGCACCCCAGCCACAGCCCCCAAACCACCUGCCCUAUCUCCAGAGGCAGGUUCUCACCUCCUUCAAAACCUUUUUCCUGUGCAUGUACAGCACCCAGAGUAUGUAGUAUUGUUUUUAGUGGAUGGGUGUGCACUUUAGAAGAAAUAGUUUCAUGCUCUAUAUACUUACUGUCCAAUAAUGCACUUUUUUUCACUCAAUACUAUGUCUUAGAAAUCUCGGGGCGCCUGGGUGGCUCAGUCGGUUAAGCGGCCGACUUCGGCUCAGGUCAUGAUGUCGCGGUCCGUGAGUUCAAGCCCCGCGUCAGGCUCUGUGCUGACAGCUCAGAGCUUGGAGCCUGUUUCAGAUUCUGUGUCUCCCUCUCUCUGACCCUCCCCCGUUCAUGCUCUGUCUCUCUCUGUCUC